rnacentral:lncRNA from 1 species
ACCAGUUCACAAUCUGUGAACUCUCCAAGGAGAUAAACUACAUUUUGGAAUACAACUAUCGGCAGAUUUUUUUUCCUGGAUGUGUGUCGUAUGUAUGUGGAGAGAGAAGAGGAGAGAGAGGGAGGAUCAGAUAUGAAAACAAAUAAAAACAUUUUAAAAAUCAGGAAAAGGAGGAUCCACAGACAGAGGUAGACAUAUGAGGAAGAAUUCUUAUAGGAAGUCAACACAUACAAUCCAAAGUUGGCUUCCCUUUUGGUAGAACUAUUACAGACUGCAG